GGCCCGAUGCCACGUCUCCAUUAGCCACAAGCCUUGACCGGAGAUGCUACAUUGUGCCGAGAGAGAGUUCUUGGACUGUUCACAUUUGAUAGGAACCUGUGGCUGUGAUUCAGUCGGUACACAGAGCCGUUUUUUGUGAUUACACUU
rfam:Triticum aestivum genome assembly, contig: Triticum_aestivum_CS42_TGACv1_scaffold_001360_1AL